rnacentral:lncRNA from 10 species
GGGAUCUUGCUAUUCUCUGCCACUCAGACACUCUUCAAUGUCACAUUUAUUAUUCUUCAUUGGCAUAGGUGAAGCCAGUGAUGUUGUCCUGAGGACUGAUUGCUAUGCCCAGAUGAUCUGUUGAAGUUGGCUGCCUGAUCCAACAUACAGCAUAAUUGAAGAGGACUAGGAACAGAAUCCGUUCCCGUUUCACCCCAGGAACUAUGCCAAAUUCAACAGAGAGCUCUCCAUAUGGUCUAACACAAGUGAGAACUUCAGGAAAUUAUUCAAGAAGAGAGGCAUGGUGGUAUGCUGGAAAGUCUGCUGAGCUUGAAAGUAGGUAACCCAGGCUCCUGUUCCUGUUCUCAUUGAUGAGUUCCCUGACUUCAGGUGAGUCACAGCUUCUCUGGACUUUCAUGUCCUUUUGCAAAGUGAGUCUGAUCAUUUCUAGGAUCUUUUCCAGCCCUGAGAUUGUAUGAGCUGCAAUAGCUAAGAGAUAUGGGAAAGUGGGUCAUUGGAAAGUUGUUUUCCUAACUCCACAGGCAACAAUGUGCCUCAUUCUUAGUCAUCAAAGGCAAAUACGAAGGGAUGGGAAGCACUCUCUUCACUGUCCAUUUGCAAGCAGAAUCACUCUUCACUUGAUUGUCCAGUGUCUGUAUAGUCUCUCACAGAGCCCAGCACAUGUGGGCAUUCUGUAAAUGGCCAUUGAGAACUGCCAGGUCUGUGGCUGCUACAGAGCACAAUGAUGAUGAUAAUGGUGUUGAUGAUCAUGAUGAUGAUGGGCUGGUGUAUCGAGGCACAGACCCAAGGAAGGCUAAUGAGAAUGUUUCUAGGGAAGCUUCCUGCAUGUCACUCUUCUUCCUUCUACUUCCUCUAGGUUCAUCUUCCCUGACUAACAGGGAGCCAGGGCUAUAAUAACGGGAAGGAAGUCAUCAUGUGAUUCUACCUAGAAACGCAGGCAUCAACUUGAAAUGUUUUCUCUUUCUCUUGUAACUCUGGAAUAUGGCUCCUUGGAUUGGAGGUGGCAAAUACCACGGGUUAAACAAUGUCAUUCUGAGCUCUUUUAGUACUGAAUAAUGCAAUAUAUACCAUAUUCUACCCUCUUAAAGAAGGAGUGUAUCAGCUAUGUGCCUGAUAUGGUUUGGCUCUAUGUCCCCACCCAAAUCUCAUCUUGUAGCACCCAUAAUUCCCAGGUUUUGUGGGAGGGACCCGGUGGGAGAUGAUUGAAUCAUGGGGGCUGGUCUUUCCUGUGCUGGUCUUCUGAUAGUAAAUGGGUCUCACAAGAUCUGAUGGUUUUUGAAAACAGGAGUUUCUCUGCAUGAGCUCUCUCUGCCUGCUGCCAUCCACUUAAGAUGUGACUUGCUCGUCCAUCGCCUUCUGCCAUGAUUGUGAGGCCUCCCCAGCCACGUGGAACUUAGCUCAGGACAGCAACCAGACCUGAGAUUCUUUUCAACUUAUACGCUGUUGAUGAAUGUGGUUUCUGGAUGAAAAACUGAGAACAGACUGACCCUCUGGCCACAGCUACUCGCGUCAGGGACGCAUAGUUGCAGGUGCAUGCUGUCUGGUUUGGUUUGCCAAGUCAAAAUAGUUGUGUUUCCCGCUGUGGUGAGAGUUUCCAACUUCAGACGGGGCAAGAGAAAUUCUAAACAGUUUGCCCUUUGCAGAUGUAUUGAAAUAGUACUGAAAUUUACUGAUUUUCCCUCAUGUUUUUUUUCCGUGCUUUUAUCACUACCCUGAAAAUAAACAAGGAGAAAAG